AUAUCAAUAAGCGGAGGAAAAGAAACCAACAGGGAUUGCCCCAGUAACGGCGAGUGAAGCGGCAAGAGCUCAAAUUUGAAAUCUGGCCUCCCCCGGGGGCCCGAGUUGUAAUUUGCAGAGGAUGCUUCGGGUGCGGCCGCCGUCUAAGUUCCUUGGAACAGGACGUCAGAGAGGGUGAGAAUCCCGUCUUGGGCGGGCGGACCGCGCCCGUGUGAAGCUCCUUCGACGAGUCGAGUUGUUUGGGAAUGCAGCUCUAAGCGGGUGGUAAAUUUCAUCUAAAGCUAAAUACUGGCCGGAGACCGAUAGCGCACAAGUAGAGUGAUCGAAAGGUUAAAAGCACCUUGAAAAGGGAGUUAAACAGCACGUGAAAUUGUUGAAAGGGAAGCGCUUGCGGCCAGACUCGGGGGCGGGGUUCAGCGGGUGCUCGUCGCCCGUGUACUCCCCGUCUCCCGGGCCAGCAUCAGUUUCGACGGCCGGUCAAAGGCCCCCGGAAUGUGUCGUCUCUCGGGACGUCUUAUAGCCGGGGGUGCAAUGCGGCCCGUCGGGACUGAGGAACGCGCUCCGGCUCGGAUGCUGGCGUAAUGGCCGUAAGCGGC
rnacentral:rRNA from 1 species